UUAUGGGGCUCAGUGGUAGAGCGCUCGCCUAGCAUGUUCGAGGCCCUGGGUUCAAUCCGGAGUACCACAUAAA
rnacentral:tRNA from 1 species